rnacentral:rRNA from 1 species
UGGGGAAUAUUGCACAAUGGGCGAAAGCCUGAUGCAGCAACGCCGCGUGAGUGAUGAAGGCCUUCGGGUUGUAAAGCUCUGUCUUUUGGGACGAUAAUGACGGUACCAAAGGAGGAAGCCACGGCUAACUACGUGCCAGCAGCCGCGGUAAUACGUAGGUGGCAAGCGUUGUCCGGAUUUACUGGGCGUAAAGGAUGCGUAGGCGGAUUUUUAAGUGAGAUGUGAAAUACCCGGGCUUAACUUGGGUGCUGCAUUUCAAACUGGGAAUCCUAGAGUGCGGGAGAGGAGAAUGGAAUUCCUAGUGUAGCGGUGAAAGUGCGUAGAGAUUAGGAAGAACACCAGUGGCGAAGGCGAUUCUCUGGACCGUAACUGACGCUGAGGCAUGAAAGCGUGGGUAGCAAACAGGAUUAGAUACCCUGGUAGUCCACGCCGUAAACGAUGAGUACUAGGUGUAGGAGGUAUCGACCCCUUCUGUGCCGCAGUUAACACAAUAAGUACUCCGCCUGGGAAGUACGAUCGCAAGAUUAAAACUUAAAUGAAUUGACGGGGUCAUAGCUGUUUCCU